CUGAAAAAAUCAGAACAAUAUCUAUAUUAUCUAUACUAAUAUAAUAAAGUAAAGUUUCUUAGGUAGUUGGGCAUAAUCUGUGGACCCACUAAACAAAAUUUGAAAAUUCUUAUACCAAUAGCAAGGUACAUUAUUUGUGAGUGUGAUAGGCUGUAUUUUAUCUCCAUUUUCCCACAGGAAUGGGAAUUACGCGGGUGAAACCACAUGGCGACUGCUAUAUAUAACUAAAUGACCCAACAUUUAUUUGCCUUAUUGCUAAAUAAUAAGGUACAAUGGUGGACGGAAAAAUUUUGCCAAAAAAAAUUUAAAAAAAAAAGUAAAGUUUGUGAGGUUGUUGGGGAUAAUCUGUGGUUCUACUAAAACAAUUUUGAAAAUUCUUAUAUAUCCCCAUUUUCCCACAGGAAUGGGAAUUACACAGGCAAAACGACAAGACAACUGCUAUAUAUAACUAGCUGACCCAUCAUUGAUUUGCCUUAUCGCUAAAUAAUAGGGAAUGAUGGUUGACGGAAAAAAUUUCCAUCAAAAUUGAAAAAAAAAAGUUGUGAUGGUGUCAGUUAGGGGUAUGAAAAAUAGAUGUUGGCCGAUUUUCAAGACCUACCCCAUUUGCACAUAAAUACAAAAAUUUGGGAGGAGUUUGAUGACAAACACAGCAACAAGACAAUUCAAAAUUUUAUGAAACAGCUUGGUUUUUUUUUUGUUUUGGUUGCUUGGUUAGUAGGCUUAGUUUACAAGCACUUUUGAGACUUCAAUGACUAUAUACACAGACUCUACCAACCAAUCAAAAGGCAGGCUCUGCUGAGGAGAGCUAUUCUGUCUUCUUAGAAAUUCAGUUAAAAUUCUUAGUCCACAGUGAGAUGUGGUAUUACAUAACUGUGCUCAUAUUAAUUUACUCUUUGGCCAGUCCUGCAAGCUAAUUCAGUAACUUUGACGUAUGCUAGAUGACAUAUUAUACGAAAUUGAGGUUCAAUGUAACAAAUGUCAUUCAGCACUUGGUGGAUAUACUGUAGAUGACAUUUUGCCAAUUGAUUAAAUCUUUAUUUUAAUAGGCUGUCGCUGUAGAUGUUGGCUAUCUUGAGCGUGAUGUACGAAUACGUACACUGCUCAGUAAUCACUGAUGUGUUGGGGGAUUUAAACAAUGUUGUCGGAAAUCUCGUUAAUGGACUAAACUCUACAGGACAGCAGCUAGCGAAGGAUGUAGUGGGUGACCCUUCGAGCUAGACUAAAUACUGGAUCAUCGACAUUGUUUGCUGCACUGAAGUAGAGUCAACGAGUAGAAACAUGUACACCAAAAAUACUCAACAUCUCAAACGGGCUGUUUAACUACCAAUCUUUGCCUAUGGGAACAAAUUGAAAAAAAAAACAUCAAAGACGAAAACCUCUUUGUAAAUUCCCAUAAUAAAAAUACUCAACGUCUCAAGCGGGCUGUAUAACUACCAAUCUUUGCCUAUGGGGACAAAUUGAAAAAAAAACACCAAAGACAAAAACCUCCUUGCAAUAUGAAAAAUCCUUGAAAAAUUCCUUGUAAUAUGAAUUAUUACUCGUAUAGUUUCGGUAAAUUUUAUCUACAUAAUGAUUAAGAAAAACUAUUCAACAAAGGAGCUGAUUUUGUUGAAUAGGUUAUUUUGUACUUUCUGGUUCUGAGUUUUUUUUUCUAAUAAUGUCUGUCCCAUGCGCAUACAUAAAUUUGGUAGUACAUCGUUCAUCUUACUUUGCUGACACUAUUUUAUGGGCAGCUAUGAAUAUUAUGCUAACCCUUGGCUUUGUUAAAAUUGGUUAAGAAAGUUAUUGCAAUAAAUAUUUUAUUUUCUCAUUUACCUAUUGUAUUUUUAUU